rnacentral:sRNA from 1 species
AGUGGGAUGCAUGGACCCUCUUCCAGGUAGAUCAUGCCACUAAUCGUACCCAGUUUGGGGAGAAAAUUCACAACUUUGGGCUGAUCCAGGAGAAGCUGGCACGGAUGGUUAUGCUGCAGUAUGUAACUGAGGUGCCUGCCAGCAGUACCAGAAGUUAAUUCUACCUCAUCCCUUACAUCCACCCCUUUUAAGAAAACAAAUACCUGGAAGCACCUGAUGAACUGACCCAGAACAAGUAUCUGCCUGACCUGACAAGCUAGGUCAGCCCUUAUCUUGGAGAUCUGGGUGAUGAGGCCAAGUCUGACAAAGCCCUUUGCAAUUUUCCUUCCCAUGUCCCAACCAUGCAACCUCAGUCCAUGGCUUACAUGGUGAGUGCUAACAUGGACCAGGGAGCCACGGACUUCCAGAUAGAGGCCGCCAUCAGCAAAAUCUUUGGCUCGGAGGCAGCCUGGAAGGUG